rnacentral:misc_RNA from 1 species
AAGGCAUGUCGGAUCCCUGCUCGGGCAGCGACGGCAUCUCAUGCGCACCCCUUCAGUGGAUGGCUCUAGUGCUCGUGCACUUUGCCGAUGUCGGCUUUCCUGUGCUGUAUUCCCAUCGAGAUGGCAAUUCGUCGGCUAAAUUUUUCAGUUUCCGCCCUGUGCUGCUGCUCCUCACGGAAAUGCGGCGCGGGGUGGUCCACAAAGCACACGUCGUGUUUCGCGAUCCACGCACUCGUGCGCGAGUUCUCGGGUUGGCGACCCACGGCGAUGCGCUCGAUCUCUCGGAUGCGGAAAAUCGGGCGGCGACGAGGAAACGGCCUCGGAUGCCCUUUGGUAUAAAGCGUUCUGCGCUUCGUGCGGACGACGGCUCUUCGGGUCUCGAUCUGGAGUCGCCUUGCUUCAUGGUCGUGCUCGGACUGCGUCGAUGAGGAA